GGGUCGCGAGUCCGUGUGGACGGACGCCGGUCUCCAAAACCGGAACGAACGAGGUUCGACUCCUCGGCGACCUGCCA
rnacentral:tRNA from 1 species